GACGAACGCUGGCGGCGUGCUUAACACAUGCAAGUCGAACGGAAAGGGCCCUGCUUUUGUGGGGUGCUCGAGUGGCGAACGGGUGAGUAACACGUGAGUAACCUGCCCUUGACUUUGGGAUAACUUCAGGAAACUGGGGCUAAUACCGGAUAGGAGCUCCUGCUGCAUGGUGGGGGUUGGAAAGUUUCGGCGGUUGGGGAUGGACUCGCGGCUUAUCAGCUUGUUGGUGGGGUAGUGGCUUACCAAGGCUUUGACGGGUAGCCGGCCUGAGAGGGUGACCGGCCACAUUGGGACUGAGAUACGGCCCAGACUCCUACGGGAGGCAGCAGUGGGGAAUAUUGCACAAUGGGCGGAAGCCUGAUGCAGCAACGCCGCGUGCGGGAUGACGGCCUUCGGGUUGUAAACCGCUUUCGCCUGUGACGAAGCGUGAGUGACGGUAAUGGGUAAAGAAGCACCGGCUAACUACGUG
rnacentral:rRNA from 1 species